rnacentral:ncRNA from 4 species
GAGGGACUUUUGGGGGCAGAUGU